UCCAAGGAGCUUGCUCUGGAAGAUUUAGUGGCGAACGGGUGAGUAUCACGUGAGCAACCUGCCCCGAAGAUUGGGAUAACACCGGGAAACCAGUGCUAAUACCGAAUGCCCUCCACACGUCGCAUGGCGAGUGGAGGAAAUGUUUUUUCGCUUCGGGAGGGGCUCGCGGUCCAUCAGCUUGUUGGCGGGGUAACGGCCCACCAAGGCAACGACGGAUAGCUGGUCUGAGAGGACGAUCAGCCACACUGGAACUGAGACACGGUCCAGACUCCUACGGGAGGCAGCAGUGGGGAAUCUUGCGCAAUGGGCGAAAGCCUGACGCAGCAACGCCGCGUGAGGGACGAAGGCUUUCUGAG
rnacentral:rRNA from 1 species